rnacentral:tRNA from 1 species
GCAGCGGUAGCUCAGUCGGUAGAGCACCUGUGCGAUGCACAAGUUGUCGAAGGUUCGAAUCCUUUCCGCUGCU